AUUGAACGCUGGCGGCAUGCCUUACACAUGCAAGUCGAACGGCAGCACGGGAGCUUGCUCCUGGUGGCGAGUGGCGAACGGGUGAGUAAUACAUCGGAACGUGCCCAGUAGUGGGGGAUAGCCCGGCGAAAGCCGGAUUAAUACCGCAUACGACCUACGGGUGAAAGCGGGGGACCGUAAGGCCUCGCGCUAUUGGAGCGGCCGAUGUCUGAUUAGCUUGUUGGUGGGGUAAAAGCCCACCAAGGCGACGAUCAGUAGCUGGUCUGAGAGGACGAUCAGCCACACUGGGACUGAGACACGGCCCAGACUCCUACGGGAGGCAGCAGUGGGGAAUUUUGGACAAUGGGGGCAACCCUGAUCCAGCAAUGCCGCGUGUGCGAAGAAGGCCUUCGGGUUGUAAAGCACUUUUGUCAGGGAAGAAAUCUUUCAGGCUAAUACCCUUGGAAGGAUGACGGUACCUGAAGAAUAAGCACCGGCUAACUACGUGCCAGCCGCCGCCGUAA
rnacentral:rRNA from 1 species